AGAGAAGGAAGCACAUCAGCAGAGCCAUAAGCUGUAUGUUUGUUACUCCUCCCAGCACCUCCACAUAAGGUCUGAGACUGGGGUCUCCCUUGUCCCUAACUGUGCCCUUCCUAAGUGCAAGGUGAGUUCCCAUAGAGAAGGGCUCCAUGCCCGUGUAGACUGAGCAAUAGAGGCCUGGACUGGACAGAUACCUCCCUCUCUGAAGCUUGGAACAGAAUCACAGCCAGCACAGGUAUAUAUUUUAAAGGCAUUUGUUGGUCUUCAGUAUUGGGUUCAGUAUGGCACAAAUCCUCUUCUCAAUUACCAUUUUCCUCUCUAU
rnacentral:RNase_P_RNA from 1 species